GCGGCGUGCCUAAUACAUGCAAGUCGAGCGAGCUUGCCUAGAUGAAUUUGGUGCUUGCACCAAAUGAAACUAGAUACAAGCGAGCGGCGGACGGGUGAGUAACACGUGGGUAACCUGCCCAAGAGACUGGGAUAACACCUGGAAACAGAUGCUAAUACCGGAUAACAACACUAGACGCAUGUCUAGAGUUUAAAAGAUGGUUCUGCUAUCACUCUUGGAUGGACCUGCGGUGCAUUAGCUAGUUGGUAAGGUAACGGCUUACCAAGGCAAUGAUGCAUAGCCGAGUUGAGAGACUGAUCGGCCACAUUGGGACUGAGACACGGCCCAAACUCCUACGGGAGGCAGCAGUAGGGAAUCUUCCACAAUGGACGCAAGUCUGAUGGAGCAACGCCGCGUGAGUGAAGAAGGGUUUCGGCUCGUAAAGCUCUGUUGGUAGUGAAGAAAGAUAGAGGUAGUAACUGGCCUUUAUUUGACGGUAAUUACUUAGAAAGUCACGGCUAACUACGUGCCAGCAGCCGCGGUAAUACGUA
rnacentral:rRNA from 1 species